rnacentral:rRNA from 1 species
GGAUUAGAUACCCUGGUAGUCCUAGCCGUAAACGAUGAACACUAGGUGUGGGGGGAGUCGAAUCCCUCCGUGCCGAAGCCAACGCGUUAAGUGUUCCGCCUGGGGAGUACGGCCGCAAGGCUAAAACUCAAAAGAAUUGACGGGGGCCCGCACAAGCAGCGGAGCAUGUUCUUUAAUUCGAUGCAACGCGAAGAACCUUACCUGGGCUUGACAUGGCACUGCAAGCGCACGGAAACGUGUGACCUUCGAGGGUGUGCCACAGAUGCUGCAUGGCUGUCGUCAGCUCGUGUUG